rnacentral:rRNA from 1 species
GACGAACGCUGGCGGCGUGCUUAACACAUGCAAGUCGAACGAUGAAGCGGGUGCUUGCCCUCGUGGAUUAGUGGCGAACGGGCGAGUAACACGUGAGUAACCUGUCCUUUUCUUUGGGAUAACGGCUGGAAACGGCUGCUAAUACUGGAUAUUCAGGCUGCAUCGCAUGGUGUGGUUUGGAAAGGUUUUUUCUGGGAUUGGGUGGGCUCGCGGCCUAUCAGCUUGUUGGUGGGGUGAUGGCUUACCAAGGCUUUGACGGGUAGCCGGCCUGAGAGGGUGGUCGGUCGCACUGGGACUGAGAUACGGCCCAGACUCCUACGGGAGGCAGCAGUGGGGAAUAUUGCACAAUGGACGAAAGUUUGAUGCAGCGACGCCGCGUGGAGGGUGUAGGCCUUCGGGUUGUGAACUCCUUUUUCUCGCGAAAAAGGCACAGUUUUGGCUGUGUUGAUGGUAGUGGGGGAAGAGGCGCCGGCUAACUACGUG